ACCAUGGACUUGGUCCAAGCAGCCUUUUCUUAUGUUUUUAUGAUAGCCUGACCUGAUUUUUUUUAGCUUCCUGUACUUCUAAGGAUGUGGCCUACAGCAGUGGUUCUCAGACAUUUUUCUCUGAGCCACCGUUUCAGAAGAAGAAUCUGCUCACACCCACAGCAAAUUUUCUAGUGGUGAAAAACAAAAAAUACAUUGGAAAACACACCCAGUGUUGUCCUCAGUGUCACUAGAGGCUCUUGGAAAAGAGAUGAUGAUGAUAACAAUAACAAUAAUAAUAAUAAUUUAUUAUUUAAAUGCCACCCAUCUGGCUGGGUUACCCCAGCCACUCUGGGCGGCUUCCAACAGAAUAUUAAAAUACAAUAACCUAUUAAACAUUAAAAGCUUCCCUAAACAUCUAACUAUACAGGCAACUCCCCAUUCAUGUGUGUUCUGUUUGCUCGCAACCACACACACACACACAGAAGGGGAAAUGGAGGGCACCUGGUCAACCGAGCUUUGCUGUCACAGCCGACACAAGCGGGGAAUCUUCUUCCCUUCGUGCGAGCAGGAGGACAGAGGAAGACUCUCCUGGGCGCUCCCCAUUUUACGUAACUCAGCGUACGUGCACAAGGGCCCGUUACAGAACCCCUGCAUAAAUGGGGAGUCACCUGUAUCCUGCAAAUAACUAAAAAAAAUGGAAUCAUAGAAUUGUAGAGUUGAAAGGGACCCCUGGGUCAUCUAGUCCAACCCCCUUCCAAUGCAGGGGAAUCUCAGCUAAAGCAUCCAUGACAGAUGGCCAUCCAACCUCUGCUUAAAAACCUCCAAGGAAGGAGAGUCCACCACUUCCCGAGGGAGACCAUUCCAUGGUCAAACAGCUCUUACUGUCAGAAAGAGCACCUUUCUGAUGUUUAGUUUCAAUCUCCUUUCUUGUAAGUUGAAGCCAUGGGUCCGAGUCCUGCCCUCCAGAGCAGGAGAAAACAAGCUUUCCCCUGUUCCAUGUGACAGCCCUCGAGAUAUUUGAAGAUGGCUAUCGUAUCUCCUUUCAGUCUCCUCUUUUCCAGGCUAAACAUGCCCAGCUCCUUCAACCGUUCUUCAUCAGGCUUGGCUUCUGGACCCUUGAUCCACCUUGGUUACCCUCUUCUGCACACCUUCCAGCUUGUUCCAGUUACAGUGGUACCUCUGGAUGCAAACGGAAUCUGUUCCGGAGCCCCGUUCGCAUCCUGAAGCAAAUGCAACCCGCGUCUGCGUGUGCGCGGGUCACAAUUUGCCGCACACGCGCAUGAUGUCAUUUUGAGCAUCUGCGCAUGCGCGAGCAGCGAAACCCAAAACUAAUGCACUCUGUUACUUUUGGGUCGCCGCGGAGCACAGCCCGGAAAUGCUCAACCCGAAGCUACUUCAACCCGAGGUAUGACUGUAUUUGGAUACUGUUCAUAGAAUCAUAGAGUUGGAAGAGACCACAAGGGCCAUCGAGUCCAACCCCCUGCCAAGUCCAACCCCCUGUUGUUGUUGUUGAGUCGUUUAGUCGUGUCCGACUCUUCGUGACCCCCUGGACCAGAGCACGCCAGGCACUUCUGUCUUCCACUGCCUCCCGCAGUUCGGUCAAACUCAUGCUGGUAGCUUCGAGAACACUGUCCAACCAUCUCGUCCUCUGUCGUCCCCUUCUCCUUGUGCCCUCCAUCUUUCCCAACAUCAGGGUCUUUUCCAGGGAGUCUUCUCUUCUCAUGAGGUGGCCCAAGUAUUGGAGCCUCAGCUUCAGGAUCUGUCCUUCCAGUGAGCACUCAGGGCUGAUUUCCUUAAGAAUGGACAUGUUUGAUCUUCUUGCAGUCCAUGGGACUCUUGAGUCUCCUCCAGCACCAUAAUUCAAAAAUAAUUCAUAAUUCAUAAUUUGGAUACUAUGCUAUGCUAUAUUGAAAUGUUUAAACAUUUCUUUGUCCUUGAAUCUCCCUGCCACACUCGCCAUCCUCUCCUGCUAGGCCAGUGUGGCACACAUGCCCACAGCCUUUGAGAGCGACUGAGCUAUCGUUUCUAAGCAACAUGAAUUAGGUGCCAAGUGCAACUUACAGUUUGCCCCUCCUGCUCAACAAUAUCCUUUUAGCCGCAGGAAGAUUUUUGUUGAGCCUCGGCACGUUUCUCUAUUUGCAUUGGCAGCCAUCAAAUGGAGAUCCGAAUUGAAGGCUCGACAUCUCCAUGCCUUCAUCUUCAUUAUAGCUUGCAGCUAAAGAAAUACAAUGGCUACUGUUAGCCACAACGGCUAUGGCCUACCUGCAGGGUCAGAGAACGCCUGCUUCUGAAUCAACAGUAGAAGGCUAUUGCUCUUAUCUCCUGCUUUGUGGCCGCCCUGUUGGGGCAUCUUGUAGAUGAUCUCUCUUGCCCUGACCUAGCCACUGUGAUCCAUGCAACUGUCACCUCCAGCCUUGAUUAUUGUAAUUCGCUCUACGCGGGGCUGCCCUUGAGACUGACCUAGAAACUCCAGUGGGUGCAGAAUGCCGCGGCGAGACUCCUUACGGGGUCCUCGCCGCAGGAUCACAUUCACCCGGUUCUGUACCAGCUGCACUGGCUCCUGGUGGAGUACAGGAUCCAGUUUAAGGUGCUGGUUUUAACCUUUAAAGCCCUAUACGGACUAGGACCCUCGUACCUACAGGACCACCUCUCCUGGUAUGUCCCACGGAGGACCUUACGGUCUUCAAACAAAAACAUCCUGGAGGUCCCGGGCCACAGGGAGGUUAGGUUGGCCUCGACCAGAGCCAGGGCCUUUUCAGUACUGGCCCCAAUCUGGUGGGACGCUCUGUCACAAGAGACUAGGGUCCUGCGGGACUUGACAUCUUUCAGCAGGGCCUGCAAGACAGAGCUGUUCCACCAGGCCUUUGACCAAGGCACAGUCUGACCCCCUCCUUUGGUAAUCCUCACAGAACUCUAGCCCAAUGGUCGCCAUGAAUUUGAUUUUAAAAUGAAUUGAUUUUAGAAUGUUGUGUUACUUUUAUUGUUGUUAGCCACUCUGAGCCCGGCUUCGGCUGGGGAGGGCGGGAUAUAAAUAAAAAAUUAUUAUUAUUAUUAUUUAUUAUGAUCGCAGAGUUCAGGUCAAUGGACUAGACUGGCCUUGGCUCUGGUCCAAUAGCGAGAGAGAGUGAGUUGUGGAUUUUUUGCUUUGCAAGGCUGAGCACGAACUGAGAGUCAAGACAUGUCCUUUGCAGUCUCCUGGACCCGAGACCAAGGUCUACAAUAGCAGUAAUGGCCAUGGAGGUUUUUUUUUUAUAAGAUUGCACAGGAAGAGGCAAAGCAUCCCACGUUUUGGUUCUUCGUGAGACCUGCCUCCGCCGCCCACAAAAACACUCCCUGAUCUUUGGGGAUGAAAACGUAAAGAGCAAGUUUCAAGCGAGCGGAUCCUCUGAACGGCGUGGGUGUCAAGGUCACAGAGAAAGCCACUUUUGCUGCGGUUUCUGCGCAGGCGGGAAAAAGCCCGAGAAAAAGGAAAGGGUGGAGGAAACCGACUUACUCGAAUUCAGCAAAUAAAGGGGUGCGGUUAGGCAGAGGACCAGAUUUCUUAUUUUUAAUUCUACAUUAUAAAAGAACCAUUGUUUUGUUGCUGCUGCUGCUGCAGAUCCUUACAUGGGCUAAACCAGCCCAGCUUUUGCCAGCUUGGCACCUUCCAGAUGCUCUGGGUGCUGGGAGUUCUAGUUCAAAAACAUCUGGAGGGAAUCAGAUUGGCAAAGGCUGGACUAACCCCGUAGUUCCAGAAAAGGUCCGGCUCUUAUCGCAGCCAGAUUCUCAAGACAUUUCCAAGGACUCCUUUGCCAGCGGAACGGCACCUCAGCACCCCUUAUCUCAAGGAGGAAGCUGCGGGUUUUUACAGUUUUCGUGAUUUGUAACUGCCAGGUACGAACUGGGAUCUGAGGAUCAGGUUUUGCUAAGAGCGAUGCCAGCAGGAACAUUAAUUGCCGAGGAAGUCAGAGCCGGCCGUGUGAAAGAAGACCUCUCUUCCCAUUCAUUGAAACUUGCCUACCUGCGUGGUGCGAGGGGAGAGAUAUCACUCCGGGUUCAUUUAUUGUGGCGGGUUUUUUUCCUUCAAAUUUUUUAAAGUAAUUUUCCAG